rnacentral:rRNA from 1 species
CCUGUGAACUUGUUUAACACAUUGACAAGUGUUUGUGGCCAGUCCUUGGAUUGGCAACAUGCACUAGUGAGUCGAGAGGUGUCGAUUGCUCAUGCAGCAUUGGCUCCUCAAGACACAACAAACCAAUCCCGGCGCGGGUUGCGCCAAGGAAGAAUAAAAAAUAUGAGGAACUCCUCUCCAUCCUGGAAACAGUGUAUGCGACGAGGGAUUGUUCCUUUUAGUCGUAAAUAGAACGACUCUCGGCAACGGAUAUCUCGGCUCUCGCAUCGAUGAAGAACGUAGCGAAAUGCGAUACGUGGUGUGAAUUGCAGAAUCCCGUGAACCAUCGAGUUUUUGAACGCAAGUUGCGCCCGAAGCCUUCAGGUUGAGGGCACGUCUGCCUGGGUGUCACACAAUGUUGCCCAAACCCCAAUUGGUAUUGGAUAUGGGCGGAUGUUGGCCUCCCGUGUGCCAUGUGCUCGUGGUUGGCCCAAAUACAAGUCGCGUUGAUGUUGUACAUGACAAUCGGUGGUUUAAAGACCUUCGGAGAAUGUCGUGACUCUCAUCGCUUUGGCACCAAUGGGCCCAAAGCAAAUCAUUGCAAGCUCACAUAGCGACCCCAGGUCAGGCGAGACUACCCGCU